CAGCAGCCGCGGGAAUACGUAGGUCCCGAGCGUUGUCCGGAUUUAUUGGGCGUAAAGCGAGCGCAGGCGGUUAGAUAAGUCUGAAGUUAAAGGCUGUGGCUUAACCAUAGUACGCUUUGGAAACUGUUUAACUUGAGUGCAAGAGGGGAGAGUGGAAUUCCAUGUGUAGCGGUGAAGUGCGUAGAUAUAUGGAGGAACACCGGUGGCGAAAGCGGCUCUCUGGCUUGUAACUGACGCUGAGGCUCGAAAGCGUGGGGCGCAAACAGGAUUAGAGACCCGAGUAGUCCCUGUCUCUUAUACA
rnacentral:rRNA from 1 species